AACGAACGCUGGCGGCAUGCCUAACACAUGCAAGUCGAACGAGACCUUCGGGUCUAGUGGCGCACGGGUGCGUAACGCGUGGGAACCUGCCCUUAGGUUCGGAAUAACUCCCCGAAAGGGGUGCUAAUACCGGAUAAUGUCUUCGGACCAAAGAUUUAUCGCCUUUGGAUGGGCCCGCGUUGGAUUAGCUAGUUGGUAGGGUAAAAGCCUACCAAGGCGACGAUCCAUAGCUGGUCUGAGAGGAUGAUCAGCCACACUGGGACUGAGACACGGCCCAGACUCCUACGGGAGGCAGCAGUGGGGAAUAUUGGACACUGGGCGAAAGCCUGAUCCAGCAAUGCCGCGUGAGUGAUGAAGGACUUAGGGUUGUAAAGCUCUUUUACCCGGGAUGAUAAUGACAGUACCGGGAGAAUAAGCUCCGGCUAACUACGUG
rnacentral:rRNA from 1 species